UGCCGGCUUUCCAACAGCCGGGGUUACUGAAGAGGCACACCUUCAUUGCCGGAAGUGCGGUUGGGAUAUUCCCUCCAAUCCAUGGCAGACAAAGCCGAGUCCUAGCCUUCGCGGGCUUCGAUUCAUCGUUCGCGCAUCGAGCGCAUGCAUGGUUC
rfam:Ensifer sp. LCM 4579 contig_4, whole genome shotgun sequence.